GACAGAGGGUGCAAACGUUGUUCGGAAUUACUGGGCGUAAAGGGCUCGUAGGCGGCCAACUAAGUCAUACGUGAAAUCCCUCAGCUUAACUGGGGAACUGCGUGUGAUACUGGAUGGCUUGGAUUUGGGAGAGGGAUGCGGAAUUCCAGGUGUAGCGGUGAAAUGCGUAGAUAUCUGGAGGAACACCGGUGGCGAAGGCGACAUCCUGGACCGGUAUGACGCUGAGGCGCGAAAGCCAGGGGAG
rnacentral:rRNA from 1 species